GCUUCUUCUGUGUCAUUAGAAGACAUUUGUGCAACUUCAUCUUAAAUGGCUGCAUAGUGUCUGAUGAUACAGAUACACGAUUAUUAAUGUCCACCUCCCUUCUUCUGGACAUCAGUUAUUUUUGGUUUUGCCACCUCAAGUGCUGCAAUAAGCAAACAUGAGCUACCUACCUUUGAAGACAACUUCCUAUCUUUCAUUUGGCUCAUUUUUCAAAAGAGAUUUAACUCCAGCCUAUGUAUAUAUUAACAUAUCACCAUGUCCCAAAGAAUUCGCACUGCGCAGCGCUGUGCUUUUGGCAGACAAGGAAAGCCUUCACAUGAGUUACAGUUGAUAGGGCAAGGGAAGCUCAGGGCUUACAAAAAUCCAUACAGUGGCCCUGCUUAAAAAUUUGAGAAAAUAUAAAGUCAGCUCUGUGUCACUUUAUGAGUGAUUUUUUUUUAAUGGUUUGGGGUCCAGAAAAUAUCUUUUUAGUUAUUUUCUCCCAAAGGUAUGAGUGAUUUGUGAGAGAAAAGUACAGAUAU
rnacentral:lncRNA from 10 species